UAAAUACUAAAAAUAAAAUCACCAUUAAUUAAUAAUGCUACAAAAAUCAGUAGUAAAAGAUAUAUCACGUUCGAACGAAAUCAUGUAAUCAGUCCAUAUAUUUAACUUUAUAGAUGCGAUAUCGCAUUAAUUACGAUUCAGAUCGUCACUAUCAGAAUCAUAACAUCAUUCUCAUUCGCCUCAUAGAAACCAGUCAGAAUCGCGGCGUAUCUUCUAAAUUUACGAGUUGUAUCUGGAAGCUACGUUUCAUUCGAAUUUUCAUACAUGUCGUUCAAACGUCUCUCCCCCUGCUUUCUUUCCCUUUCGUUCCUUUAUAUAGACACUAUAUAUCUCUAUAUAUUUUCUUUGCUUUCCUUUUUUUUUUUUUACUAGGCAAACCAUGACAUCGCGAUAUCUCUCGACGGGCAAUAGACGACCGACGCGAACGUUACGAACGCCCUUCGGAACUUUUUCCAGUGCACGCGUAUUGGACGCGGAUAAACUAGAAAAUAUUAUCCCGCCGUUAUAUCGUUGUGCCUUUAUCAUGUCGCGUUUCUCUUCGGUGAAUCAGCGCUCUGUAAUGAACACCAGAUACAUACAUCGUGCUACAUACUGCUGGCUUCGUCUGAUUCCUCAUAACUCAAGACGAGCAGCAUCGUCGUAUGCUGCGUAUUCGCUUGUUCCUGCGGCUCGUUGAUUCAACGACGUCGUUUCCUUUCGUUUGUUCGUGCGUGAAAUUGCAACGAGAGAUAGUUUAACAGUGAAAAACAUGAAAAAAUGACGGGUUUCAGAAUCUUUUGCUACUACAAUUAGUAGAAACACAUAAUAGUAUAAGAAACUCGAAGAAAAUGAUGGAUCGUGGCACUCGGUUAAAUGGAGAACACUCCUGCGGUCGCAGGAAGGGUGUAUCAUAAUUUAAGACCUGUUCGCGGCGGUGAUGCUGGUUCGCUGAGUAGGUGUUACGAUUGAUGGUUGUUGGGAGUUUGAACAUGUUUUCUACGAUGAAGUUUUGUGGUUAACACCAGGUCUGGAAGAAUCAUUCCGAGAAUUUACGGUGAGCUUGUUGCCAAAACCACUGGUGUAAAGAAAGGGAACUCGCAGACAUAAAGGAGACGGAGACUUGCGACGAUAAUGGCCCUCUCAGACGAAGAAGUUAAUUUGGGAAAGAGGAUUCCGUCGCGGACAAAACGCUUGUAAUCCUUAACAAAGGGUGGUCUCAACUUCCCUAGUCUGUGUUGUCCCGAGGAUGGUAAUCUGCAAAGAGGGAGAACGGUCCCUCCAAGUUGAUUCUUCGUUGCUCGUGUUUGACAGUGAGGGAGGUCUGUUAUCGACGGACAACGUUUUAAGAAUCCUUGUUUGAUUGGAAUCAAAGGUGUCAAUAUAUGCAUUGCUUUUUGAUAGUAAUAUUGAUUUAGAGAGGAAGAAAUGAACUUUAUUGUGAAAAUAAAUUUCCCUUUUAUCGUAUAGAACAAUGUGUUUAUAUCUCUAUACUGUUCAAGAUAAUUAAAGGAUCAUUCUCUAUGAUUUUUAUAUUUAUUACUUGUAAAUUUAUUAGUAUGUAUGCUUUAACUAUAAUAUUUAUUAUGAUUCAUCCUCUUGUAUUUAAUUUCUCAUGGUUUUUAGUUUUUAUAUUUAUAAAGCAUACGAUCAAGCCUUGAAAUGAAAAUGUAUUACACGUGUCAUAGGUAUACUACAUUUAUAAUAAAUAAUUCCCCUUUCUUUCUGCUCUCCUCGAAACAAAUGUUUAUGCGUUGCUUAAGCUGCUCGUAUGGUUUGUUCAUUUUUAAUAAUUAUUACGUUACAUAAGUGAAAAAUCUCUACGUAAAUGGAGCAACUCUUAAAAUGCUAACAAAUGCAUUUAUGUAUUUUUUCAUAUCAUGAAUAUUAUGAACAUUUAUGGUGAUAAUUUUAAAAUUUGUUUCGAGUAUGGAAAUAAACGUGUACGUGUAGGUGUAUAUUCAUGUUAUAACGUUAAUAAAGAUGUACGCGAACGAACAGAGA